rnacentral:rRNA from 1 species
UACGUAGGGGGCAAGCGUUGUCCGGAUUUAUUGGGCGUAAAGAGCGUGUAGGCGGUUUGGUAGGUCCGCUGUGAAAACUAGAGGCUCAACCUCUAGACGUCGACGGAAACCGUGUGGCUAGAGUCCGGAAGAGGAGAGUGGAAUUCCUGGUGUAGCGGUGAAAUGCGCAGAUAUCAGGAAGAACACCCGUGGCUAAGGCGGCUCUCUAGUACGUGACUGACGCUGAGACGCGAAAGCGUGGGGAGCGAACAGG